UUCGGGGUUUUGAGAGCGGCGCACGGGUGAGUAACGCGUACAUGACCUACCUUUAAGACUGGGAUAGCCCUGGGAAACUGGGAUUAAUACCGGAUGUGAUAAUAGAUAUAGAUAUUUAUUAUUAAAGCUGAGGCGCUUAGAGAUGGAUGUGCGUCUGAUUAGCUAGUUGGUAGGGUAACGGCCUACCAAGGCGACGAUCAGUAGGGGGCGUGAGAGCGUGACCCCCCACACGGGUACUGAGACACGGACCCGACUCCUACGGGAGGCAGCAGUAAGGAAUAUUGGUCAAUGGACGAAAGUCUGAACCAGCCAUCCCGCGUGCAGGAUGACUGCCCUAUGGGUUUGUAAACUGCUUUUGGCAGAGAAGAAAAGCAUUCUUUCAAGAGUGUCUGACGGUAUCUGCAGAAUAAGCACCGGCUA
rnacentral:rRNA from 1 species